CCUACGGGAGGCAGCAGUGGGGAAUUUUCCGCAAUGGGCGAAAGCCUGACGGAGCAAGACCGCGUGGGGGAGGAAGGCCUUUGGGUUGUAAACCCCUUUUGUCAGGGAAGAAGACAGUGACGGUACCUGACGAAUCAGCCUCGGCUAACUCCGUGCCAGCAGCCGCGGUAAUACGGAGGAGGCAAGCGUUAUCCGGAAUAAUUGGGCGUAAAGCGUCCGUAGGUGGCCCGGCAAGUCGGUUGUCAAAGACCUCAGCUCAACUGAGGAAAGGCAAGGGAAACUGCAAGGCUAGAGUGCGGUAGGGGUAGAGGGAAUUCCCAGUGUAGCGGUGAAAUGCGUAGAGAUUGGGAAGAACACCGGUGGCGAAAGCGCUCUACUGGGCCGCAACUGACACUCUUGGACGAAAGCUAGGGGAGCGAAUGGGAUUAGAUACCCUAGUA
rnacentral:rRNA from 1 species